GAUGAACGCUGGCGGCGUGCUUAACACAUGCAAGUCGAACGGAAAGGCCCUGCCUUUCUGGGGUACUCGAGUGGCGAACGGGUGAGUAACACGUGAGUAACCUGCCCUUCACUUUGGGAUAAGUUCAGGAAACUGGGUCUAAUACCGGAUAGGAGCUCCUGUUGCAUGGCGGGGGUGGGAAAUUUUCGGCGGUUGGGGAUGGACUCGCGGCUUAUCAGCUUGUUGGUGGGGUAGUGGCUUACCAAGGCUUUGACGGGUAGCCGGCCUGAGAGGGUGUACGGCCACAUUGGGACUGAGAUACGGCCCAGACUCCUACGGGAGGCAGCAGUGGGGAAUAUUGCACAAUGGGCGCAAGCCUGAUGCAGCGACGCCGCGUGGGGGAUGACGGCCUUCGGGUUGUAAACUGCUUUCGCUUGUGACGAAGCGUGAGUGACGGUACCGGGAGAAGAAGCACCGGCUAACUACGUG
rnacentral:rRNA from 1 species